rnacentral:rRNA from 1 species
GAGUACGGCCGCAAGGCUGAAACUUAAAGGAAUUGGCGGGGGAGCACUACAACGGGUGGAGCCUGCGGUUUAAUUGGACUCAACGCCGGAAAACUCACCGGGGGCGACAGCAAUAUGUAGGUCAGGUUAAAGGUCUUACCUGAAUCGCUGAGAGGAGGUGCAUGGCCGUCGUCAGUUCGUACUGUGAAGCAUCCUGUUAAGUCAGACAACGAGCAAGACCCGUGCCCACUGUUACCAGCAUAUCCUUUAUGGAUGAUGGGGACUCUGUGGGGACCGCUGCUGCUAAAGCAGAGGAAGGUGCGGGCUACGGUAGGUCAGUAUGCCCCGAAUCUCCCGGGCUACACGCGGGCUACAAUGGUUGGGACAAUGGGUAUCUACUCCGAAAGGAGUUGGCAAUCUCUUAAACCCAAUCGUAGUUCGAAUUGAGGGCUGUAACUCGCCCUCAUGAAGCUGGAAUCCGUAGUAAUCGCGUUUCAACAUAGCGCGGUGAAUCUGUCCCUGCUCCUUGCACACACCGCCCGUCAAACCAUCCGAGUGAGGUAUGGGUGAGGGCACGAACUUAGUGUCGUGCUCGAACCUAAAUUUCGCAAGGAGGGUUAAGUCGUAACAAGGUAGCCGUAGGGGAAUCUGCGGCUGGAUCACCUCCU